GGAGAUGGAAUAUAGUAAGAAAGACCUCAUAUAUUAAAUCAACAAUGUUGUUUUACAAAGAACACCAUCCAAAGAACACAUUGUUGCUUUACACCAUCAUCUUGUACACAUGUGUUUUACAAGAACAUGUGCACUCUACACAUAAAUAGAUCGAAGCUUCAUUAAAGGAAACAAAAAACUAAGCUCAUCACAUGAGCAUCUAGACUGACAUGUUCAACCUUCAUUAACUAAAACCAAAAUGAUCAGUUUCCCUUGGCAUCCAUAACUCCAUAUCCUGAAUAUAGUUCAGGCCAAUUGCAGCUAUAAUAAACUGCAUAUUCUUCAUCUCUCUGCUAGCAAUGAAUGAAAUACGAAUAGUUAAUAUAGCACUUUGGGUAAUAAUAAGUUCUCGAUGAAUUUCAGUGCAUGUACCAGCCAAGAAUUUCUUUCUUAUUUCGAGGUUAUCCCUUUGUAGUUAUGUACAAAUUUAGAUUCAGACAAUAUAAGCAAAGACAAAACAUACAAGUAACAAAAUUUAGUUGAGGCUACAUUCCUGUAAUUUGGUAUAGUGAAUGCCCAGCCACAUAUUCAAUUAAUAAUGUUCAUUACAAUGAGUGAACAGAUUGUGCUAAAUGUGGAAGAGAUGAUAAAGCUAACCACAACUUAUGCUUGAAAAUAUUGGGUCAUGUUCACAUUUAUAGUCAUUAGAAAUUGUAGGAAACAAAAUACGAAUUAGAAAGGGCUCUAUGUUUGGAGCUUACCUUCUUAUUGGUUUGCACUUCCGAAGUCAGAGCAUAUGAAUAGGCGCAGGCACAGAGCAGUUAUUAGAGUUAAUUAUCCUACAAUCAUAUGCAUCAAUAAUUAAGAUUCUUGAGAAAGAAAAAAAUAAUAUUGCACAACAUGAAAAACAUAUACACAAAUUACAACAGAAAUUACCUCUAGUGAUAUUAUUUUUCUAAUCGAGACAUCACAUCUGAAAUAAUCUAGAAAGAGUUGGCACCAAAACUAAUCAAUCUUUUCUAAGAUGAUAUCAAAUACAUGGGGCAAACAUUCUCGAAGAGGGAUAUCGAUCUAAAUGAACAAUUAACAUGACAUAUAAAGAUGAAUCCAUAUACACACGCCGCCCACACAAACAAAAAGAGAGAAGGGAUCGAUGAACACCACACCUCCAUGACGUCGUUGACAUGCUGCCAUCAUCGCUGGUCAUAUUUACCUUACCAGCUUGCAGCACUCACUCAAAUGCACAAUCUGAUUACAUCAUGUAGAUUUAUAUCUUUAAUAUUAUGUGUAAACCUGCAAGACUAUAGUUCACUAAGUAACAACUUAAAAUUCACAUACUGGUGAGAAAAAAAGAUGUGAAGUGGCAUCUCGUGAAGCAUUUUUUGUUGUUAUGCAUUCUUUUGAUCUAAAAAAGAUUGUAGUUCAUCAUAAUAUGCGAAUAAAUACAAACAUAUGAGAAUUUAGAAGUACCUAAAGUUAAACAAAAUCAUCAAAUUGAUCAAAUUUACAUACACACUUACGCAUGCUAGCAAGUGUGAGAUGUCUAGACUAUGAUUCAUAUACCUUUUUAAUGUGUAGUUUUGUAUAAUCAUGCUUAAUAUUACUGAAUAAGAAGUAGUCAUGCACUUGGAAUAUUACUGCCUCCUUGACAACAGAAGCUUUAGUAACAUGAGUGAAUAAAUAAUGCACGAUCACCCUUGUUUCCAUGGAAAACUAGAUUCUCUUCUGAUAAGCCUCGGAGAAUGCAAGCAUUGAUAUAAACAAGACUGGUGGACAACUAAUUGUUUUGUUCUGCAGUGUAAUCUAGCACUCUAGAGUAUGAUAUACAUACAGAGAAAUACGUACAUAUGGAUAUGCAAACACGAUUAUGUUUGAACAACUACAGCAGAAGAUCACUAGCAGAAACCUGCAUAGCAAAAUUAGAGCAUCAGGUUUCCUUCAACAACAAAAAAAGCGAACACUAGCCAUAAAUUUAAUAAAGUAAUUGGUCCACCCAUGGCACAAGUGGAAGGUUAGAGAAGCUAGGGAACCAAAUGCCAAUGGAAUUAUAUAAGCCACAAUGUUGUUAAAUUCGGGGGAACAAAUUAGUGGAAAUAAUAGAAUUGUCACAUUCUUCAGGGAGAUAAUCCAGGUGAGCGAUGAGGUAGGCAGUAGGCGACCAUGGCAGCCUCCCUAUGAGAGAGCGGCUAUAGGUAUUGGUAUAUCCAGCCGUCAUCUAUGAUGCCACGAUGACAAACCCUUGGUAGCCAUGCCACAUAAAGCACCAGAGAGGAUAAGAACAUAGGGGAGAAGUGUCUCACUAUUGGCGCCGGAGUCGAGGUAGACAUUGCGGAACAGUAUCGUCCAGCCUGUGGAGGCAACCGCCCGUCCAGAGAUGCGCAGGGUAGUGAGCCGACCAACCGAAGGGGCAGGAGUUGCGCCCUCGACCCAUGGUGACUAGGGUUGAUGCAGG
rnacentral:lncRNA from 1 species